GCCCUCGUAGUUUAAUGGAUAAAAUAACGGCUUGCGGAGCUGUUGAUCGAGGUCCGAUUCCUCGCGGGGGCA
rnacentral:tRNA from 1 species